rnacentral:rRNA from 1 species
GAUGAACGCUGGCGGCGUGCCUAAUACAUGCAAGUCGAGCGAAUAGACGAGGAGCUUGCUCCUCUGACGUUAGCGGCGGACGGGUGAGUAACACGUGGAUAACCUACCUAUAAGACUGGGAUAACUUCGGGAAACCGGAGCUAAUACCGGAUAAUAUAUUGAACCGCAUGGUUCAAUAGUGAAAGACGGUUUUGCUGUCACUUAUAGAUGGAUCCGCGCCGCAUUAGCUAGUUGGUAAGGUAACGGCUUACCAAGGCAACGAUGCGUAGCCGACCUGAGAGGGUGAUCGGCCACACUGGAACUGAGACACGGUCCAGACUCCUACGGGAGGCAGCAGUAGGGAAUCUUCCGCAAUGGGCGAAAGCCUGACGGAGCAACGCCGCGUGAGUGAUGAAGGUCUUCGGAUCGUAAAACUCUGUUAUUAGGGAAGAACAAAUGUGUAAGUAACUAUGCACGUCUUGACGGUACCUAAUCAGAAAGCCACGGCUAACUACGCG